rnacentral:rRNA from 1 species
AUACGUAGGUGGCGAGCGUUGUCCGGAAUUACUGGGCGUAAAGGGCGCGCAGGCGGGCAUUUAAGUCAGAUGUGUAAUCUACAGGCUCAACCUGUAGCUUGGAUCUGAUACUGGGUGUCUUGAGUACAGGAGAGGGCAGUGGAAUUCCUAGUGUAGCGGUGAAAUGCGUAGAUAUUAGGAGGAACACCAGUGGCGAAGGCGGCUGCCUGGACUGUAACUGACGCUGAGGCGCGAAAGCGUGGGGAGCGAACAGGAUUAGAUACCCUGGUAGUCCACGCCGUAAACGAUGGGUACUAGGUGUAGGAGGUAUCGACCCCUUCUGUGCCGGAGUUAACACAAUAAGUACCCCGCCUGGGGACUACGGCCGCAAGGCUAAA